rnacentral:piRNA from 1 species
UCUACUGUUGUUCAAGAACAU